GAAGUGUUUAGAAUAAGAGCAGAACACCCAGAUGAUAAUCAAGCCAUAUUGAAUGAUAGAGUGAAAGGACAAUUAAAAGUCACCAGAGCAUUUGGUGCCGGAUUCCUGAAGAGGUUUAACUUCCUUGGUAAAGAUUCUAUCAAGUAUGAGAAUACAAUUGAGGUUGAGCUUCCUGUUUACGAUGCAAUUUUGAAGUUCCAAAAAGAUAAGCGCCCCGGUGAUGAUCUUUUUGACAAGUUGGAUACAAGUAAAUUAAAUGCUCAUCUGAAGGAACUCAUGCCUGGCCUAACUGCAAAGGUCUUCCGUACAUUCAAUGCAUCUAUCACGUUGGAUGAUAUGUUGAAUAAGGAAACUAAAGAGGGUGAUGUUGUCGAAAAGAUUCUUGUUUAUCAACAUGCAAAUAAACAGGUUGCAAUCAUUUGUAAUCAUCAACGCAGUGUUUCAAAAUCUCACUUGUCACAAAUUGAAAAGUUAACAAACAAGAUUGGUGAGCUUCAGGAUGUUCUGAAGGAGCUAAAGACAGAUUUGGACAGAGCAAGGAAAGGAAGGUCCCCUCUAAAGGGUUCAGAUGGAAAGACAAAAAGGAACUUGGCCCCUGAAGCGCUAGAGAAAAGAUCUCUCAAACCAAUGCAAAGAUUGAGAAAAUGGAACGUGAUAUGAAGACAAAAGAAGAUCUGAAAACUGUGGCAUUGGGCACGUCCAAGAUAAACUAUCUUGACCCUAGGAUUACAGUUGCCUGGUGCAAACGGAAUGAGGUUCCCAUUGAAAAGGUUAUUGUAGGAGAGAUCAAGCACUCCCAAGCUGCUCAUGUCACCAACUUGUGGAGGGACUUUUCCAGUGAGUUGAUUGUGGGAAAGAUCAAGUGCUUCUAAUUUCAACAGAUUCCCAAGAAAAGUUGGGAUUUCACUUGAGAGAUUGUUGUAUCUGAGGUCUAAAUUGAUCUGGAGAUUUUGGAGUUUUUCAAUUUCUGUUUUAGUAUGGAAAAUAACACAGCUUUUAGUAUAGUUGAUAGUUUUAGUAUGGUUGAAUAAUACAUUGAGGAUUAUAGUUGAUGUAUCAAUACAUUUUGUUUGUAUUUUGAAUUAUAUUGACUUGUUUGUUUAUUAUAGUACUUUUCUUUUAGUUUGAUAAUACAA